rnacentral:rRNA from 1 species
UACAGAGGGUGCGAGCGUUAAUCGGAAUUACUGGGCGUAAAGCGCGCGUAGGCGGCUUUGCAAGUCGGAUGUGAAAUCCCCAGGCUUAACCUGGGAACUGCAUUCGAGACUGCAUUGCUAGAGUAUGGGAGAGGGAAGUGGAAUUUCCGGUGUAGCGGUGAAAUGCGUAGAUAUCUGGAGGAACACCAGAGGCGAAGGCGGCGAACUGGACAGUAACUGACACUCAACUGCGAAAGCGUGGGGAGCAAACAGG